UACAGAGACUGCGAGCGUUAUUCGGAUUCACUGGGCGUAAAGUGUGCGCAGGCGGCCGCGCAAGUCGAGUGUGAAAGCCCCGGGCUUAACUUGGGAAUUGCGCUCGAAACUACGUGGCUGGAGUGUGGCAGAGGAAGGUGGAAUUCCAGGUGUAGCGGUGAAAUGCGUAGAGAUCUGGAGGAACACCGAUGGCGAAGGCAGCCUUCUGGGCCAACACUGACGCUCAUGCACGAAAGCGUGGGGAGCAAACAGG
rnacentral:rRNA from 1 species